rnacentral:rRNA from 1 species
UACGUAGGGUGCAAGCGUUGUCCGGAAUUAUUGGGCGUAAAGAGCUCGUAGGCGGUCUGUCGCGUCGGCUGUGAAAACUCGGGGCUCAACCCCGAGCCUGCAGUCGAUACGGGCAGACUAGAGUGCUGUAGGGGAGACUGGAAUUCCUGGUGUAGCGGUGAAAUGCGCAGAUAUCGGGGAGGAACACCGGUGGCGAAGGCGACUCUUUGGCCUGUAACUGACGCUGAGGCGGCGAAAAGC